rnacentral:rRNA from 1 species
GACAGAGGUGCCAAGCGUUAGGCGGAAUCACUGGGCGUAAAGCGCUUGUAGGCGGUCCACCAAGUUUGGGGUGACAGUUGCCGACUUAAUCGGCAAAGUGCCUCAAAGACUGGCGGACUUGAGGGCCACAGAGGGACAUGGAACUCCAGGUGUAGUGGUGAAAUGCGUAGAUAUCUGGAAGAACACCAAAGGCGAAGGCAGUGUCCUGGGUGGUCGCUGACGCUGAGAGGCGAAAGCCAGGGGAGCGAACGGG